ACCUGAAAUCAAGCAAGAUCACCCGCUGAACUUAAGCAUAUCAGUAAGCGGAGGAAAAGAAACUAACAAGGAUUGCCUUAGUAGUGGCGAAUGAACCGGCAAUAGCUCAAAGUGUAAAUCUGAGGCAUCAAGUCUUAGAAUUGUAAUCUAUAGGCCUUUUAGGGAAGCCAUGGUUCUAGCAUAAGUUCCCUGAAAAGGGAUGCCAAAGAGGGUAAAAGCCCCGUAUUUGGUUAGGACUGGGUGUACCGAAGGGUUCCAAGAGUCGGGUUGUUUGGGAUUGCAGCCUAAAAUGGGAGAUAAACUUCUUCUAAAGCUAAAUAUUUAUGGGAAACCGAUAGCAAACAAGUACUACGAAGGAAAGAUGAAAAGAACUUUGAAAAGAGGGUUAAAAGACUUGAAAUCGUUGAGGAGAAAAGCGGUAGAAGAGAAAUGAUUUCAUUCAGGAGUAUGUAGUUUUGUUGGUGUCUUCUGCGGUAAUGGUACUUCAUAGGGCCUAGCUGUAGACCGGCGUCGCAUUGCUGCUUUUUCUGGGUGAAGUGCAAAAUGAGGUCUCGCUUGCGGAAACGUCUCUAGGGAGGACUCUGGCCUUGACGCUGGAAGCCCUGGUCUCCAA
rnacentral:rRNA from 1 species